rnacentral:ncRNA from 1 species
AUGGAGGAUGCCGAAAAUCCAUAAGAGAGUAGGUG